GCGGGUCUGUGGUUGAAAGUCGAUGCCAGUCGCAGGCAAAACGAUCCACGUAACCCGGGCAAAGUUCCGGUGAGCAUGGUGCGGCUUAGAAGUAAGACCGGCCGGCGCAUAGACGCCGAGAGGGGCAGUAGUGGGGAGCAGAGCUUAUGAGCGAACCCUCCAGCCGGCGAGUGUGGGGUCAAAAACCAGGUCAGCCGU
rnacentral:ncRNA from 1 species